rnacentral:rRNA from 1 species
UACGUAGGGCGCAAGCGUCGUCCGGAAUUAUUGGGCGUAAAGAGCUCGUAGGCGGUUUGUCGCGUCUGCUGUGAAAACCUAAGGCUCAACCUUGGGCUUGCAGUGGGUACGGGCAGACUAGAGUGCGGUAGGGGUGACUGGAAUUCCUGGUGUAGCGGUGGAAUGCGCAGAUAUCAGGAGGAACACCGAUGGCGAAGGCAGGUCACUGGGCCGCAACUG